rnacentral:lncRNA from 12 species
CCCUACAGUGACACUCAGUGCGGCUGCCUCUAGACCUCCAGUAAAUGGCAACAAUUUGUAAACCAUACCUCUUUCUUUCUGUCUUCAGAGCCCUGUGGAUCAACUCAGCCUGAGUCACAGGCCCACCCCGCUUCCCUCACCUCAGCUUUGGCUUCCAGAGGGGAAGGCAGUACUUCGAGACCCUCCAGGGGUCCUGGAGAAGCGAUGCUGGCCGACAGUCAGCCCAGGCUGGUCCCUGACACCAGACUCAAGAAGACUUAACACUUGCGGCAUAGAAGCCACCAAGUCAGGCCCCUGGCUGCUGCAAGGCCCCUGCACGUGCC